rnacentral:rRNA from 2 species
AAACCAACAGGGAUUGCCUCAGUAACGGCGAGUGAAGCGGCAAAAGCUCAAAUUUGAAAUCUGGCGUCUUUGGCGUCCGAGUUGUAAUUUGAAGAAGGUAACUUUGGGUCUGGUGCUUGUCUAAGUUCCUUGGAACAGGACGUCAUAGAGGGUGAGAAUCCCGUCUGAUGAGAGAGCCAGACCUCUGUAAAGUGCUUUCGAAGAGUCGAGUUGUUUGGGAAUGCAGCUCUAAGUGGGUGGUAAAUUCCAUCUAAAGCUAAAUAUUGGCGAGAGACCGAUAGCGAACAAGUACAGUGAUGGAAAGAUGAAAAGAACUUUGAAAAGAGAGUGAAAAAGUACGUGAAAUUGUUGAAAGGGAAGGGUUUGAGAUCAGACAUGGUAUUUUGUACACCUUUUCUUUCGGGAGGGGGCCUCUGCAGUUUACUGGGCCAGCAUCAGUUUGGAUGGUGGGAUAAUGGCCAAGGAAUGUGACUCGUCUUUGGAUGAGUGUUAUAGCCUUGGUUGAUACCGCCUGUCUAGACUGAGGACCGCGCUUUUGCAAGGAUGUUGGCAUAAUGAUUUUAAACCAC